UACGUAGGGUGCAAGCGUUAAUCGGAAUUACUGGGCGUAAAGCGUGCGCAGGCGGUGAUGUAAGACAGGUGUGAAAUCCCCGGGCUUAACCUGGGAACUGCAUUUGUGACUGCAUCGCUGGAGUGCGGCAGAGGGGGAUGGAAUUCCGCGUGUAGCGGUGAAAUGCGUAGAUAUUGGGAGGAACACCAGUGGCGAAGGCGGCUCACUGGACCGGAACUGACGCUGAGGCGCGAAAGCGUGGGGAGCAAACAGG
rnacentral:rRNA from 1 species